rnacentral:misc_RNA from 1 species
CCUUGACCUUUGUAACUUGCAACCUGGAUAAAAUAGCCUUUUUUUACUAACCAUUGCAUACACAUUAAAGGUACAAGUUACAAUGUGACCAAAACGAUGCAGCCAACAAUUGAUUUUAAUAUUCAAAUGCAAUUAAACUUGCAUAACAGACAAACUACAUGCAUUGGACAUAUGACUAUGAAGGUGGGGUCAACUUCCAUGCAUUGUUUGCUUUGUUCACAUUUCCAAGUAAAACAUAAAUGCAAAUUCACAGUAAAUUAUGGUUAUAAAGCAAAAAAGCAGAAUACAGAAAAACAUGCAAACAAACAAAAGAUCUCCUGGCUGAAUUUAUGAUUAUAUUCAUAUAUAUGUAAUCCUAUCUUCCUCAAUAUCUGCAAAAAGUGGAUCACAUCUGUCUCCACUUUGUAAGAGCUGUAAGAUUUCUUAGAGAAGAUUUGAAGUUUUCUGUUGUUUUUUCAUAAGAAAGUAGUCCAGUCAAGGUGCAGAUUUUCACAAGGAACUACUUGUUUAUUGUUCAUGGGAUUUCUUGAUUAGCAAUAGGUCUAUUAUCUGUGAAAUUUUGUGUCAUAAAGAAAAGCAAGAGACAACAGUAAUGAUGAGACAACAACAAUGGUCAAUUUGAAGGAAAAGAAAUAGCAAACAAACAAAAUAGUUGAGAGAAAAAGAGAGAGAGAGA